UGGGUUUUCGGUUCGAACAGCCCUCCCUGUCUGCCGCUUUCCCACAAUGCACACCGCUAGGUGCGCUUUGAAAAAGCGGCGCGGCUAAUUCAAGAUGGCGGAGAUGGAGCAGCUUUUAGAUGAGAGUUCGUCGGCCAAAGCCCUGGUCAGUCUCAGAGAGGGGAGCUUACUGAAGUCCCACAACACCAGAGGACGAAGCAAUCUGCCCACUCUGGAGACGCCCACACGGAGCUCCAAGAGAACUCGUCUGUCAUGUGAGGAGGAGGAGCGGCCGUUACCCACCCGGUCACCUAGGAGGAGCCAGAGAGUCACCACCGCCCCUCAGAAGCUGGCGGGCGUGGGGACUCCAGAUAAGAGAGCGUCUCAGAGGAUCGGCCUGCGGCUACGCAACCUGCUCAAGCUGCCCAAAGCCCACAAGUGGUGCAUCUACGAGUGGUUCUACUCCAACAUUGACAGACCGCUGUUUGAGGGAGACAAUGACUUCUGCCUGUGCCUGAAGGACUCGUUCCCCCAUCUGAAGACCAGGAAGCUCACACGUGUGGAGUGGAGCACCAUCCGCAGACUCAUGGGGAAACCCAGACGGUGUUCCUCGGCGUUCUUCGCUGAGGAGCGGACGGCGCUGAAGACGAAGCGUCAGAAGAUGCGUCUGCUGCAGCAGCGCAAGAUCACAGAUCUGUCCGUGUGUAAGGACCUGCCCGAGGAGAUCCCCUUGCCCCUCAUCAUCGGCACCAAAGUCACUGCUCGUCUGAGGGGUGUCCAUGAUGGGUUGUUCACUGGUCAGAUCGACGCCGUGGAUACGAGCGCAGCCACCUACCGCGUCACCUUCGACCGCAGCGGCCUGGGCACACACACUGUCCCUGACUAUGAAGUCCUCAGUAAUGAGCCUCAUGACACGAUGCCCAUCUCAGCGUUUGCCCAGAAGCAGAGGCCCCCACGCUUCCAGACCUUCAUGACACCCCCCCGGGGCUCCUACUCCGACUCUACACAACCCAUUCUCACGGAUGGGGACCCUCUGUUUAGCCAGUCCCCCUGGAGGAACAAGCUCACCGGCAGUGAGGGAGAGACCCUGGGAGGCUUCCCCGUCCAGCUCCUUGUCCAAGUAACGAGGCUGUCGAAAAUCCUGAUGAUCAAGAAGGAGCACAUUAAGCACCUGAAGGAGAUGAACACCCAGGUGGAGAAAAUGAAGUCGUACUCUCUGCCUGUGGGGCUGGACUUCCAGAAGAGAUACGCCACCACAGUGUUGGACCUGGAGCAGCUCAACAAAGAUCUCAACAAGGUCCUACACCAGGUGCAGCAGUUCUGCUAUGAGCUGGCCCCAGAGCAGGGCAUGCAGCCAGCAGACCAGCCCAGUGAGCUGCGGAGGCGCUGUGAGGAGGAGGGUCAGGACCUCGUACGGCUGUCCAACGAGACGCCCGACGGACACACACACGUGCAGAACCCCGGGCUCACACACCUGGUGUCCCGACUAACGGCCCUGCUGCUGCAGAUCAAGUGCUUGGCAGAGGGAGGUGAUCUGAACUCCUUUGAGUUCAAGGCGCUGACGGACUCCCUGAAUGACAUUAAGAGCUCCAUAGACGUGUCCAACCUGAGUUGUUUCCGUGAUAAUGUGGAGAUCCAUGUUGCGCACAUCCAGAGUGGUCUAAGCCAGCUGGGAAACCUGCAUGCCUUCUCAGCCAACAACACCAACACCACAUGACACACACACCAACACCACAUGACACACACACCAACUCACACAUUGGCUAUUUAUCUGAUCUCGGUGGAUGUGUGUGUGUGUGUGUGUGUGUGUGUGUGUGUGUGCGUGCGUAAGCCACAGGGCUUGUUGACCCUCAGUGUUUAGAAUGUGUGUGUGUGUGUGUGUGUGUGUGUGUGUGUGUGUGUGUGUGUGUGUGAGAGAGAGCCGUGGAGCAAUGCAUCCUCACGUCUCAAAGUGCUGAGAGAAAACCAACCAACAAACACUCUUAACACUAACUUGCCUUUCUUUAACAAGACCUCAGUCUCCGCCCUCUCACCCCAAAGAGCCUAUGAGAAGCGUACACAGAGGUGAUUGACUGUUGCACUGUCCAAUGAGGGGUGAGCGAGGAGGACUGGAGCAGGCGUGAACCUGAGGGAGUCCUUGGAAAGCGGCGUGGCUUACGAGAGAGCGAUAUGAUAUACGCGCAGAAAAGAGUUUUUACAAGCAAAUAUUUAUGAGUGUCUCGUAGGCUGCGGCCAUGUCUGUCUGUGUGUGUGUGUGUGUGUGUGUGGCGUGUGUGAAAUCCAUGCCAUUCAGUGUAUGUCAUCUCUCAAAAAGACAGUGCUCGAUUUCUGUUAGGUUUUGUUAAUUUGUUUAUCUGUGGCUGUUGAUUUUAUUUUGUGUGGGGCAGGCUGGGUUGUGGUGUGGCAGGGCUGGGUUGUGUGUGGCAGGCUGGGUUGUGUGUGUGGCCUGUGCAAAGCUACUGCAAGAUGUAUAAGUUUCCCAGCAUUUCUAACUCCUAACACCCCAUAGCCUGCCCCCCCCCCCCCCCUUUACUCUCCCUCUCUCUCUUACUCUCACACUCUUACUCUCUUCCUCUCUCUCUUUCUCCCUCUCUCUCUUUCUCUCUUACUCUCACACUCUCCCUCUCUCUCUCUCUUACUCUCACACUCUCUCUCUCUCUCUCUCUCUCUCUCUCUCUCACACUCUCUCUCUCUCUCUCUCAUCGUUACUGACUCCUCAUCCCUCUAUACUGCAUGUUGGCAGGGUUGGGAGCCCAAGAGCCUGUGUGUGUGUGUGUGUGUGUGUGUGUGUGUUUCAGUAUGGAACCUAGAAUAUGUGUUGCUGUCCAUCACACACACUCAUGUGUCCAUUAAGUGUGUGUUUAUUUAUUUGUGUGGUAUUGUGGCGCUCGGCCCUUCUGUCCUUUGGCCACACUGCUGUGGUCUCCUGUAGUUACUGAGAAACUGAGUUGGCCCACUCAGUACGUCCCCUGAGUCACUGGUUACUGAAGAUGGGCCCCCACACACACACACACACACACACACACAAUCCCCUCCCCAAACACGGCAGCAGUCAAACAAAAGGUCAACCACCUGAGGACACGUGUCCCUCCGAGGCAGUGUUUCAGAAAAACAGCUUAUUUGGUGUGUGUGUGUCCACUGUCUUGGCUUUGGCUUAUGAAAGCCGCUGUUAUCCACACACACACACCAUCCUGCCACUUUCUGUAUAUAAGAGACUUCUGAAACAUUGGAAUCGAAUUAGAGCAGGGCCAGUUAUAAAGGCUAAAUGAAGUGAGUGUGUGUGUGUGUGUGUGUGUUAACAGGAGCAGAGGCAGUGAUUGGGGGGUGGGGUUCACAGGAACAUAUGUUAAGUUGUACACAACAGUACUACUCCAGGGUUAUGGUGUUGAUUUGCAAGCCUGGACAUGAAGAUGUUUUUUGUAUUUGAUUCCUUUCACCUGUAUUGUAUAAUAAUGAGGAUGACUCUCUCUAUUUGAGCAUAUAUUUAAUCUUGAUUAAACUUAUGUUCACAUGUAA